UUCAUCAAAGUUUUCAAAAGUUACGCUCCCAAGUAAUCGAUAUGAUAGAUAAAGCUAAUGAAUGACGAAUUCCCCUUCAUAAAUUGGGGUCUCCGGUCAAGUGGCGAUUUAACUUCUCUUAUCAAAUCCCACAAGACCAGGUCAAUAUUUUGUUUGUCAAUGAUGGUGUUACAGGCAUGGGGUACAGAUUGGGAUGGACUGAGGCAGCUUCGUGCAUUCUAGUACCAAGACUAGGUGAUUCCUGCACAAAGAUUCAUCUCCACCCUACUCACUCACCUUGCUCUCCUUCUACCAAACCCACAACCUUCGUUCUUGAAGGUCAUGAUGAAAUCAAGAUUCAACACUUCAAACUUUCGUCAAAUUUAUCUCCAGGUACAAAAUUACAUUCGAGUCUACUAGCUCUAUAACCUAUCCUUCAUCCCCAAUUUCCUUGCUAACACGUAUUUUAGUAAAUUCCUAUCUUCCCUCCCAUUCUUCCUCAUGCCCGGAGAGAAUCCUAGGGCGUGGACGGGUUAGACCAUUGAACUUGUACAAGAAAGGCAAAGGCACCUGGAAACUAUAAUCCAUGGCUGGGGUGACCAUCUCAAUAUUUAGAGCAUCUCCAAGAUACUCUAUUUUUAAAGCGUACAUUCUAUCAUUUUGAGAGUAUCUUUAAAUUUAGAGAGUUAAAAUUUUGAAAUAUUCCAACAAGUUCUUUAUAUUUAAUAUUUAAUUUUAGUACUCCAAAAAAAUAUUUAUUAUUUUUCUCUAGAUUAUUUUAUUAUUUCCUAUAUUGAAAACUGAAAUACUUUGAAUGCAUUUAAUUAUAGAAAGUGAAUUUGGCUUGACUCUUUAAAAUGGAGAGCAUAUUAUGUUUAAAGAGUCUCUUGGAGAUGCUCUUAGUCAAAUAAGCAUUUGAAGUGUUGGCCAGCUCAAUUUGUUAACUUAUUAAAGGAUAUACCUAAAUAAUAUGAGAUCUGAUUUUUGUUUAACAUCAAUGAAUAUGAUCAUAUCCAUUUGGGGUUGGGGAUGGAAAUAGGUCCAGACUGCUUGCUUGCUUGGCUUGUAUGCUUGUGAGAGCUUGGUCCAUGGGCGGCUUGGCUCAUUACAUCACGAGCCCAUGUUAUUUUUUUUAUUUAAUUAAUUAAAUUUCUUUGUCUUUUAUCCCGUAUUUAAUUUUUCUUUAAAUUCUAUUUAAUAAAACGAAAAGCUCCCAGGAUGGACCAACUUGGCUCAUCACAAGAAAGGCCCAUGGGCCAAGCCUUGCCCCUUGGUCAACGAGCAGAGCUUAGGUGGUCAACUCGACUUGGUCCGAUCCAUUGUAACCCUUAUAAUCCAUAAACAGAAAUUAGCUUAGAAAGCUAAAAAGACAUAAUGACUUUGUUCAUAAUUUUUAGUUGGGUUUUUGUUUUGGAUUCAAUAUGUAACACCUUGGAUUUAAUUUCUAUUUUGUAUGAGGUCAAAUUUUGUUAAUUUAAGGAAAUUUUUUUAACUACCAUACUUUAUGCUUACAUUUUUUAGAAUUAUCAAAGUUUGAGAAUCUUAAUUCAGGUCAUAAUUCAAGAUUUUUUUUUAUACAAAAAUAGAUAAUAAUUGAUUUACAUAGGAAUGUUACCUAAAUUAGUGGUUAUUAAAGGAUAAAUUGAUUUUUCACUCUCAUCAUAUUCAUUCUCUAAAAACUUGUUCACAGUUAUUAUCCAUUUUAACUUCUCUCAGAACAAGGAAAGUAUAUAUUGGGGCUCAUGAGUUCAUACUUUUUUUUACAUGUUUUCCGGUGAAAAUCACCCUUCUACAUGCCACAAGGUCACAACCACAAUUUUGCAUGUUACAACAAGGAGGCAUUUGCAAUUCAUAAAGGUAUGUUUGAAUCGUUUUAUAAUUUAUGACAACAUUUAUGUCACUCUAUAUAUGUGUUGUUCCUUGUGAACAGUAUAGGAUUCAUAUUAAAAGUUAAAUGCGAUAUUCGAUAUUUAAGAUCAUACAAGUCAAUGUGACCAAUGAUUUGCACAAUGAAAUUAUUGUAUUUCUUGUAUUGUUCACAAAUAUGUGUUAAUUGUGCUCAUACAUGGCACGCAAAAUUGUGAUAUUUGUAUUAUGUGAUUGUAUUUACGUGAAAUGUGAAAUCGUGACUUGAUAACGUGUGAGGUAAAAGAUGAAAUGCAACAAUUGUCUUUAUGUGUGACCUCUCAUAAUGACAGUGAAGAAGGAAUAGACUAUGGUUUUCUCUUUCCAAAUAAUAUUGAUAUGGUAAGAAUCUCAUUUUGUUUAAUUUGAAUUUUAAAAAUUAAAAAUCAAAUAUAUAUUACCACAAUUAAUGGGAUUAAAUAUAUUUAAAAUAUUUUUUAGAACAAAAAUACCUGACUUGUUAAUAAAAAGAGUUAAUACAUGAUUUUCUACCAUGGAAACUCGAACGCAUGGUGUCCUCUAAAGGGAAA